UACGUAGGGGGCAAGCGUUGUUCGGAAUUAUUGGGCGUAAAGCGCGUGUAGGCGGCUAGGUAAGUCUGCUGUGAAAGUCCAGGGCUCAACCCUGGAAUGCCGGUGGAUACUGUCGAGCUCGAGUCCGGAAGAGGCGAGUGGAAUUCCUGGUGUAGCGGUGAAAUGCGUAGAUAUCGGGAGGAACACCAGUGGCGAAGGCGGCUUUCUGGUCUGCUCUUGACGCUGAGGCGCGAAAGCUAGGGUAGCAAACGGG
rnacentral:rRNA from 1 species